rnacentral:rRNA from 1 species
UACGUAGGGGGCAAGCGUUGUCCGGAAUCAUUGGGCGUAAAGAGCGUGUAGGCGGCUCGAUAAGUCUGCUGUGAAAGUCCAGGGCUCAACCCUGGAAGGCCGGUGGAAACUGUCGGGCUAGAGUCCGGAAGAGGCGAGUGGAAUUCCAGGUGUAGCGGUGAAAUGCGUAGAUAUCUGGAGGAACACCGGUGGCGAAGGCGGCAUCCUGGACCAAUAUUGACGCUGAGGAGCGAAAGCCAGGGGAGCAAAGCGGG